rnacentral:rRNA from 1 species
CACCGCGGUUAUACGAGAGACUCAAGCUGACAGAAAUCGGCGUAAAGAGUGGUUAGAAAAACAAGACACUAAAGCUGAACACUUUUUUAGCCGUUUAAUGCUUACGAAAACUAGAAAUCCUAUUACGAAAGUAGCUUUAACUCCUUGACUCCACGAAAGCUAUGAAA